rnacentral:rRNA from 1 species
UAGCUAAUCCUGGUCGGACAUCAGGAGGUUAGUGCAAUGGCAUAAGCUAGCUUGACUGCGAGCGUGACGGCGCGAGCAGGUGCGAAAGCAGGUCAUAGUGAUCCGGUGGUUCUGAAUGGAAGGGCCAUCGCUCAACGGAUAAAAGGUACUCCGGGGAUAACAGGCUGAUACCGCCCAAGAGUUCAUAUCGACGGCGGUGUUUGGCACCUCGAUGUCGGCUCAUCACAUCCUGGGGCUGAAGUAGGUCCCAAGGGUAUGGCUGUUCGCCAUUUAAAGUGGUACGCGAGCUGGGUUUAGAACGUCGUGAGACAGUUCGGUCCCUAUCUGCCGUGGGCGCUGGAGAAUUGAGGGGGGCUGCUCCUAGUACGAGAGGACCGGAGUGGACGCAUCACUGGUGUUCGGGUUGUCAUGCCAAUGGCACUGCCCGGUAGCUAAAUGCG